AACGAACGCUGGCGGCGUGCUUAACACAUGCAAGUCGAACGCGAAAGGGACUUCGGUCCUGAGUAAAGUGGCGCACGGGUGAGUAACGCGUAGAUAACCUGUCUUCAUGUCUGGAAUAAUACGCCGAAAGGGGUACUAAUACCGGAUAUUCUUGCUUUUCAUAAGUUAUGCAAGCAAAGGUGGCCUCUGCAUAUGCUACUGCAUGAAGAGGGGUCUGCGUACCAUUAGCUAGUAGGUGGGGUAAUGGCCUACCUAGGCGACGAUGGUUAGCGGGUCUGAGAGGAUGAUCCGCCACACUGGCACUGGAACACGGGCCAGACUCCUACGGGAGGCAGCAGUGAGGAAUAUUGCGCAAUGGGGGAAACCCUGACGCAGCGACGCCGCGUGAGUGAGGAAAGGCCUUCGGGUCGUAAAGCUCUGUCAAGAGGAAAGAAGUGUACAAUGGCUAAUGCCUGUUGUAUUUGACGGUACCUCUAAAGGAAGCACCGGCUAACUCCGUGCCAGCAGCGGC
rnacentral:rRNA from 1 species